rnacentral:rRNA from 1 species
AAUCAACGCUGGCGGCGUGCCUAACACAUGCAAGUCGAACGCGAAAGUCCCGCAAGGGAUUAGUAGAGUGGCAAACGGGUGAGUAACACGUGGGUGACCUGCCUUCGAGUGGGGGAUAACGUCCCGAAAGGGACGCUAAUACCGCAUAACAUCCUGCCUUUGAAGAGGUGGAGAUCAAAGCUGGGGACCNCAAGGCCUGGCGCUGGAAGAGGGGCCCGCGUCUGAUUAGCUAGUUGGNGAGGUAACGGCUCACCAAGGCAACGAUCAGUAUCCGGCCUGAGAGGGCGGACGGACACACUGGGACUGAGACACGGCCCAGACUCCUACGGGAGGCAGCAGUGGGGAAUAUUGACAAUGGGCGAAAGCCUGAUCCAGCCAUGCCGCGUGAGUGAUGAAGGCCUUAGGGUUGUAAAG